UACGUAGGGUGCAAGCGUUAAUCGGAAUUACUGGGCGUAAAGCGUGCGCAGGCGGUUGUGCAAGACAGAUGUGAAAUCCCCGGGCUCAACCUGGGAACUGCAUUUGUGACUGCACGGCUGGAGUGCGGCAGAGGGGGAUGGAAUUCCGCGUGCAGCAGUGAAAUGCGUAGAUAUGCGGAGGAACACCGAUGGCGAAGGCAAUCCCCUGGGCCUGCACUGACGCUCAUGCACGAAAGCGUGGGGAGCAAACAGG
rnacentral:rRNA from 1 species